CUCGGUGGAUCCAGUUAUGGCCACGUUCUCUCUCACAAGGGUAUCAACAAUAGGAACUAUCCAUUAAAGGUAUCAUCUUUAUGAGUGAGCUGCUGAGCACAGAAGAACCUGAAGAGCCUUGAAUACCUCUCUUCAGAGUUUUCCUACUUUUUCAAUCAAUAAUUAAAUAAAAUACAUUGUUCCUGCUGCAACAACAAAUAUUCCGUCAGAUUUCUAAAGGUUUAAUAGUUCCAAUAAAACUUAAAGGCUUACAUGCAGCUUAUGAAGACAAGUUUUAAAGCAUUUGGCCAUAAGAUUAAGGUUUAAUGCCGAGAAUACCGUUAUGUUUUUCACAAAAGUGCAAGUUAUACCAUUUUUUAUCCAAUGUAGAACCUCGAAGAUGUUAGAAACAGCACUUUUAACAAUUAUUUUUUGUCAUUUAAAUCCAAUAAUGUACAUAAUUUAAUUUAAGUGAGUUAAUGGUGUAAUCUUAUAGUCUCUCGUGGAGAACAAGAAACAAUAUUAUUUGAUUCAAGUAGGAGUUAUAUGGUGUUAGUGUUACUUAAUUAAGCCUAAAGUUGGAAAUUUGAAACGGUGUUAUGUUGUUUGAAAAAACUUAUUUUCUUUAGUCCCAUAUUGGAGAGAAACAAUACUAUUUACUACUUUAUUAGUAUAUGAGUAAUAGUAUAAUACUAAAAGGAAAGCUUGGAAAUGGUCCUAACGACAUGGAGCAAAGCACCACCUGCCAAGGUCGAGAUUGGCGCUUUAGCUUAGGCACACUUUGCAUUUUGUCACUAGGAACCUGUCUUUUUAGGAUGAAUCAAAUUAAGUGCACCUAAAAUUCAAAUGAAACAGUAUCAAUUUCUAUCAGUUGUUGAAGAAAAUUAAACAUAACUUAAUGACUUAUAUGACUGUUACCGUGAUUAUUAUGAAUGCAUAAUAAUAUAAAGAUAUGAUAACAGUUUACUACUAUGAAGCACGGAUACUCUAUUUUGGGCUCCUUAUCGCGUACCGUACGCGUAUCGGAUACGCUCCAAUACGUUACCUAUACGUUGUGAACUGUUUCGGAUACGCACGAGAUUAAAUUUGAUAUUACUUAAAAUGUGGGUGAAAAUUGUAAUUAGGCCUUUAUAAUAAAAAUCCUCAAAUUGAGAACAACACAUCACAUACCGAUCGUGUUCUCUUGUUCUCCUCUGCUGCUCCUCACCAAUCACUGAUCGUCUUCUACUGUUCUGCUCGUCGAACGUCGUCGUCGUCACCAGUCAUCGCCGUCAGUCUUCGUCGUGUAUAAGGUUUCUCCAGUCAUCGUCGUCACCAUCAGUCUUCGUCUGUGUAUAAGGUAUCUCUCUCUCUCUCUCUCUCUCGUCAGUCAUACAGUAUGACUCAUACUCAUAUUUAUUUUAGGUUUUUAAAGUGUUAUUUUUUACUGUGCUGUAAAAAAUAGACCC
rnacentral:lncRNA from 1 species